GGCUUAGAGUUUGAUCAUGGCUCAGGAUGAACGCUGGCGGCGUGCUUAACACAUGCAAGUCCAACGAGCCUUCGGGUUAGUGGCGGACGGGUGAGUAACGCGUGAGAAUCUGCCCUCAGGAGGGGGAUAACAGCUGGAAACGGCUGCUAAUACCCCAUAUGCCGCGAGGUGAAAUGAAUUUCGCCUGAGGAUGAGCUCGCGUCUGAUUAGCUAGUUGGUGUGGGUUAUGGCUCACCUAGGCAUCCAUCAGUUUCUGGUCUGAGAA
rnacentral:rRNA from 1 species